rnacentral:lncRNA from 1 species
UCUCCAGAACAGUCUGUCUUGUUGACUUUAUGGACACAGAAAGCAAUUUCACUGUUCUGAAGCAAAACCACUCACGACUCUGACAAUAACAAAUCACAUGAAUUAAGGCUGACCCGGGUGUUUAUUUGGAGAAAAAAAAAAAAAAAAGUCCACGAAUGGAAAACUUUGAGUACCUUAAUUUAAGUUGGACAGCAAUAGAGUUCUUGAGACCAAAUACGUUAUCUCACCUGUGAAGGGUAUUAUGUUGCCUUCAUAAAAUAAAAGACUUUUUAAUUCACCCGAGCCCAUAGACCUCAUGAGUUAUAGAUGAAAAACAUAGCACUUGUCCUUCAAGGGUAAGUCUGGUUUUGAUAAUUCGUGGUUUCACUAGGAUAUAAAUUGUCCUCUUGAAAAUCUAAAUAUGGAUGGAGUCUGAAGAUUUCAGAGGAAAAUAUAUGAUGAUGCAAGUGAAGAGGUUGCUAGGUAUGUCAUGCUAAAGCAAAAAUAAGUCAAAGUCUAUUUCAAAUGGAUGCCUUUGGUUCUAGAAGGGUGUGGGGUAUACUUGCAUAGGGAUAAUAUUAUAGAUCCUUCCAAAGUUCCCCUCUGGCCCUCAGAGAUUGGAUGGAGUUUCCCCUCUUCCACAAUCUAGAGGCAUUCCAUCAGUCAGUCAAACUGCAUGUAUUUAUUGGAUGCUUACCAUGGUGGGUGGUUGGCGGGGGGCGGGGGGCAUAAGAGUUAUUAGCCAUGGUCCCUGCCCUCAAGGAGCAGUCUAUAUGGGAGGAAGAGACACAAUCAAUACCCAAGAAAUAAUUGAAAAGCAAUUUUGUGCUAAGCUGUGAGGGACAGAUUUUUUAGUUCAGGGGGAGAUCAGAGAGGAGAGGGUAUAGAUAUGGUAUUUCUGAAGGGGAAACUGAUUGACAGGAUUUGGAUACAUUAGGGGAAGGACAGGUGAAUUUUCUAGCAAGAGAAACAAUCACAGAUCAUAGCCUACCAAAGACCAAGGAGAAGGGUCAUCCUCUUAUUAGAGGGCUCUUUGGGAGUGGGACCCUUUUAAAAAUGAGUGGGGACGUCUUUAAAUUAUAGAUGAUUAUUCAAGGCUGCAAAGUACCUCUCAUUUUCCUUAUUAUUUUAAAUUAACUACAUAAAGUGCCAAGAUGUUUGUGUCACAUGAAUGCAAAUGAUUGAUUCCACGAAUGUCCCAAUCUUAAAAUAUGCCUUCCCCUAAAGAGGUUCCCUGUAACCCAAGCUGAGCCAAAUUGACUACUGGUGAUUUUCCAUUCCCUACCUCCUUGGCAGAUCUUCCCUUCUGCAAACCAGCAUUUUGUGUCUGCCCAAGGGGGCCUGCCACCAGGGAAGUGAAUGGGGGUCUCCCUGAACCAUAGCAGCUCCGUUUCCAUGCCCACAGUGUAAGUACUGUGGAGCUCCCAUUCUUUCCAGUUGGUGUCCAAGAUUACAUAUUCUGAAAUUCCAUUUCCAUUUGAAUCUGUCCUUAUCAACUGGUUGAAUCCAUAGAGCUGCAUGUUUCUGGAGUGCUGAACCAGGCUGGCAGCACUAGCCCGUCCAUUUUCUUUCAUAGCAUUAUUCAUGGCUUGUGCGAUAAAGUAAAUUGAAUUGUAGAUGGUUCCAAACAACGGUGAAACCUAUUUUUAAAAAUUACAAUUAUCUUGAGCCCUAGUUGCCCUAGAGCAAUCUCAGAGUGUAUUCCAAGCCUGUGUUCAUUAUUAUGGCCUGCACGUCUGAGUGGAGGUGAGCUAUGAAGACCCAGGGGGGGAAAAAAAAACAAUUGUUUCUGAGGACUUGCUUGGUUUCUCCCCUGAAUUUUUCUCUUUUUCUCCCCCAGGCCUUCACAUCUUUAAAUAUAUCAAAUAUGACAAUUUUAUGAGCAAACCAAGUCAUACACAAUAUAUUUUUACGCUCCUAAACUGAGAAAGUGAUUUAGAGCUAUAAAGGACACUAAAAAAAAAAAAAGUACGAAAUAGACAAGAGACACUCAAAAGAAAUUUACCGGGUUAAUCACUGGUGCAUUAUGCAUGGAUAAAAUCAUUUGGCUGGCCCUACUAGAGUGGUAGGUGUGUGUGGUAAGACUAUAAAUAAUGUCCCCACACUCCACAUCUGUGUCCUUAGUUCAAAAUGGCCAUUUUGCUAGACACAUGAUCCCCAGAAAAAGUGAACACUAGAAUACAGUUUUAAACACAUACCCCCACACAUACACAUGUAGACAUGCAUACUGACACGUACACAACCUCAAAUAUAGAGCCAAAUGUUGGACUAUAUGGAGACCGUGGGUUUUAAUCAAGAAAUCCUAUAUCCUAGUGGUGUGCAAAGUGGCAAGGCUUUGGUGAGAAGCCACCAAAAAGCAGUAAGGCUGCUACAAUGAAUAGCAUGACCCUUCCUGCUAUAUAAAUAUGGUAAAGGCAACAGCAUCUGUGUACUGUGCCUGAUGCUCUGCUCAUUAACCUUGUGAGUUUCGUUUUUGGAACAAACCUUGUAUCCUUUUUUCCAAAAAUGUGGGAAAGAAGAGCCAAUGUUCUCUCUCAGCUUCCCCCGCCCCCACACUGGCCAUGGCUUCAUGGUUUUUCAUACCAUUUCACUUCUAGGAUGGAGUUCAAGAAAGCUAUGGUCAUGUCAUUUUCCUAAGCUUCAGGGAAAGCUAAUACUUGCUACUUUGGUUUCACAAAGUCUAGAAAGCUAUCCUCCUGUAACAAUCUUUGUCAGAAUAAAAGGGUUUAAAAUUGAGCGAAUCAUUUUGUGUUGGAAAUGAUUCAACAAGUCAAGAUGCAGAGAGGUGUAGCAGCUAGCAAGACACUGCCAUGCCUUAUUAAUGUAGAGCAGAGGGUUUUCAACCCUGGCUGCACAUUAGAAUUACCUGAGGAAUUUCAAAAAUACUAAUGCCAAACACAAUCCAGCCAAGAAAAAGAGACACUUUAGGUUGGGGACCCAGUAAUCAGCAUUAUCAAAAGCUCCUUAGGGAGUCUAAGACCAAUAGUGUAGAAGAAGACAUACUGGCCUAGGGUCUGUUCCUAAUGCCAGGAUGUUGGCCAAGUCUGUUAUUCCCUCUCUCUGGGCUUUAAUUUCUUCCUCUCUAAAAUGAGGAUACAGAAUCAUGAAUGUCUAAACCUUAGGGAUCAUCUGGUCUAGCUAUCUUACUUUCUAGAUAUGAAAGGGAGACCUAGAGGCGUUAAAUGAUUUGUCAAGAUCAGUUAGCAGGCAUAAGAGCCUGUACAAAAUAGUCAUAAGAUUUUGGUCCACAUCAAAAGGCCCUUGAUAUUUUCAGGACCACUAGUUCCUGCCCAAAACAUCCAUAAGACAUUUGGUCCAUGCCAAAGUGUCCUUGAUAUUUGGUCACAUUUAUGCAAAAUGUUCAGAAGACAUUUGGUCCACAUCAAAAGGUCCUAGAAACUCGACCCUACCCAAAAUGUCCAUGAGAAUAUUUGGUCCAUGCCAAGUGGUUUUGGACAGGACUAAAUAUCAAGGACCUUCAUUUCUCUGAUCUUUUACCAUGGACAUGCCCCACAGCUCCGUCCUUUGUCCUCUUCUCUAUCUACACUCACUCCCUUGGGCUCCUCUUCUCUCAUGGCUUUAAAUAUCACACUUAUCAAACUAUACCGUAAAUCUCCGAUUUAUACUUCCAGCUAAGACCUCUUCCAUAAAUUCUGGACUCAUAUAGUUAACUGCUUACUUGGUAUCUCUGCUUGAAUAUUAAAUUUCAGUAUACCCCAAGUCAAACUCCUGAUCUCUGCCUCAAAUCCUCCUGUUCCAUUUCCAAUGAGUCUUUCCCAUUUUUGUUGAAAGCUACUGCUUGAUACCAGUUGUUCAUGCCAAAAACCUUGCCCCAGUAACACAGCUAAUCAACAAUAGAGCAGAAACAUCUUACUCUCCUGAGUUUUAUCCCAGUGAUCUCCCUUUACCACCCUGCCAUUGCACACACUAUAGAAAUAGGCAUGGUGAAUGGGUGCCACAUCCUGCCACCAAGUCAUCCACACUUAGCUGCCUAGCACACACUGAGGUCCCUUAAGGCAUCUUCACUAACUCUUCUUCCUGAGAUUCUCAGGUGCUGCAUUUACUUGUAUUUAGGAUUUCUGCAAGAGUCUUCCUGUUUUCGGGGGUUUUGGUAGGCUAUGACAAUAAACAAAGGCUGGAAGGUGGAGUAUAAAAUCAAUACUAGUAAAACAAAUG